rnacentral:rRNA from 1 species
AUUGAACGCUGGCGGCGUGCUUAACACAUGCAAGUCGAUCGGUAACAGGUGUAGCAAUACAUGCUGACGAGAGGCGGACGGGUGAGGAAUAUUUGGGAAUCUGCCCAUCAGCGGGGGACAACCCGGGGAAACCCGGGCUAAUACCGCAUACGCUCUACGGAGGAAAGCCGGGGACCGCAAGGCCUGGCACUGAUGGAUGAGCCCAAAUCGGAUUAGCUAGUUGGCGGGGUAACGGCCCACCAAGGCGACGAUCCGUAGCUGGUCUGAGAGGACGAGCAGCCACACCGGAACUGAGAAACGGUCCGGACUCCUACGGGAGGCAGCAGUGGGGAAUAUUGGACAAUGGGGGAAACCCUGAUCCAGCGACGCCGCGUGGGUGAAGAAGGCCUGCGGGUUGUAAAGGCCUUUCGGUAGGGACGAAAGCUCCUGCUCUAAUAAUGCAGGAGGUUGACUUAACCUACAUAAGAAGCACCGGCUAACUCCGUGCCAGCCGCCGCCGUAA